rnacentral:rRNA from 1 species
UAGUAAGUUAGUAAGGGCGCAUGAUGGAUGCCUUGGCGUACGGAGCCGAUGAAGGACGCAGCAAGCCUGCGAUAGGCCACGGUGAGCUGCAAAACAAGCUUUGAUCCGUGGAUUUCCGAAUGGGGAAACCCGUGAAGGUAAAACCUUCACAUUCUUAUCUGAAUACAUAGGGUAAGAAGGGGAACUAAGGGAACUGAAACAUCUUAGUACCUUAAGGAAAAGAAAUCAACCGAGAUUCCCUGAGUAGUGGCGAGCGAAAGGGGAAGAGUCUAAACCAUCUGCAUGCAUAAGCUGGAAGGCGUUGUGCAGAUGGAGUCGUGGGACGAGCGAUCUCCCUCUUCCAAGGGAGUGUGGAGUCAAAAAUAAACUGUUUAGCUUAAUGCUUUGGAAAGAGCAACCAAAGAGGGUGAUAGUCCCGUAGGCGAAAAGCAGUUUACUCCUAUAGCUUGUUCCCAAGUACCACGGGGCACGUGAAAUCCUGUGGGAAUCAGGGAGGACCACCUUCCAAGACUAAAUACUCCGACGACCGAUAGUGAACAUAGUACCGCGAGGGAAAGGUGAAAAGAACCCCGGGAGGGGAGUGAAAUAGAAUCUGAAAUCAUGCGCUUACAAUGGGUAGGAGGGCUAUGAAGCAGCAAUGCUUCAGCCUGACUGCGUGCCUAUUGAGGUAUGACCCAAGGAGUUGAUGGUAAUGGCAAGGCUAAGGGUAGAACCCGGAGCCGUAGCGAAAGCGAGUCCGAAUAGGGCGUUAGUCGUUAUCAUCAGACUCGAAACCAGGUGGCCAACCCAUGGCCAGGGUGAAACGGGUGUAAAAGCCCGUGGAGGCCCGAACCGUUCGGGGGAAAAAACUCGUCGGAUGAGCUGUGGGUAGGAGAGAAAUUCUAACCGAACCUGGAGAUAGCUAGUUCUCGCCGAAAUGCAUUUAGGUGCAGCGGUAGGUCAUUGGCACGUGGAGGUAGAGCUCUGGAUGGGCUAGGGGUCUUACCAGGCUUCCGAACCCAACCAAACUUCGAAUGCCACGUUGCUGUAUCUUACCAGUGAGUCGGUGGGCUCUAAGGUCCAUCGUCGAGUAGGGGAACAACCCGGAUCGUCUGCUAAGGUCCCUAAAGUAGACUAAGUGUAUCAAAGGAUGUAGGACUGCAUAGACAGCUAGGAGGUUAGCUCAGAAGCAGCUAUCCUUUAAAGAGUGCGUAACAGCUCACUAGUCGAGCGGUCCCGCGCCGAAAAUGUUCGGGGCUAAGUCUACUACCGAAGCAGCGGGUUCAAGAUAUCUUCGGAUAUUUUGAGCGGUAGGCGAGCGUUCCAGUUGCAGAGAAGGUAUACCGUAAGGAGUACUGGAGCGACUGGAAGUGAGAAUCUUGGGUUGAGUAACGAAAAACAGGGUAAGAAUCCCUGUCGCCGUAAGUCUAAGGUUUCCUGGGGAAGGUUCGUCCGCCCAGGGUUAGUCGGUCCUAAGCCGAGGCCGAAAGGCGUAGGUGAUGGACAACAGGUUAAUAUUCCUGUACUACAUAUCUUCCGUUAUCAGGACGGGGUGACAGAGGAGGAUAGACCAAGCGCGGUUUUGGUUGUCUGCGUCCAAGCUUGUAGGAGGUAUCCGGAGGCAAAUCCCUGGAUGCAUUAACUCUGAGAAGCGAUGGGGAGCCGCAAGGUGAAGUGGUUGAUUCCAAACUCUCAAGAAAAACCUCUAACGAGGAAGAUGUGUAUCCGUACCGCAAUCCAACACAGGUAGACGGGGAGCACGCUCCCAAGGCGUUCGAAAGAAUCCUCUUCAAGGAACUCGGCAAGUUUGCCCCGUAACUUUGGAAGAAGGGGUGCCUGGAAAGGUGGUAAGAACAUUGCUUUUUAUUGCUUUUCUGGGUCACAGUAAACAGGCUCAGGCGACUGUUUAACAAAAACACAGGUCUCUGCUAAGUCGUAAAGACGACGUAUAGGGGCCGACGCUUGCCCGGUGCUGGAAGGUUACAGGGAGGGGUUAGCUGGCGUAAGCCGGCGAAGCUCCGAACUUAAGCCCCAGUGAACGGCGGCCGUAACUAUAGGUUGACCGCUGUAGUUAUAAAAUCUGGCUAUAUGCUGGAAAAUCCGGUUAGUAUCUGGCGUUACGAGAGAAAAUUUUCUCCGUAAAAAUACGUCCAGUGCGGACAAUCAGCAGGAAAGAUCUGAAGGGAGGAUCCAUGCGAAGGGAAUUAGGUUAUUACCUUGCAGGUUUUACAGAUGGUGAAGGAAGUUUCAAUGUUGUCUUUAGGCCUCGCAAGGAUUAUAAAAUGCCAUGGAAAGUUUCACUCUGCUUCAAUAUUUCCCAAAAAGAUAAAGUAAUUCUAUCUUUGUUUAAGCGCUAUUUAGGUUGUGGUACUUUGCGUUCAUGACCAGAUGGUGUCUGGUAUUAUGAGGUAAACGACUUUAAUGCUAUUUGGGAAAAGGUAAUUCCUUUUUUCAGGGAAUAUGGUUUUCUUUCUUCUAAAAAGAAAAAAGAUUUCUCAAAAUUCUGUCAAAUCGCAGAAAUCAUUAAAAAACAGGAACAUCUCACAGAAGAUGGUAUUAAGAAAAUAGUUGAGCUUAGACGAGACAUGAAUGAUGGUGGAAAAAGGAAGUUCAGUGAAGAAGAGAUCCUCCAAAGACUUCAGAAAUCCUCAGAGACUAUACGCCAGACUACACAAAAAGUGUAGAUGAUAUAGUCCGGUCUCCAUAGCGAUAUGGAGGAUUGGCAGAAGUUUUGCCAAUCGCCCUGAAUUUAAAAAGGGUAACGUAACGAACGGUCCUAAGGUAGCGAAAUACCUUGUCGGGUAAGUUCCGACGCGCAUGAAAAGCGUAACGAUCUGAGCGCCGUCUCGAAGAGGAAUUCGGUGAAAUAACGGUGGUCGUACAGACGCGGCCUACCCGUAGCAGGACGGGAAGACCCCGUGGAGCUUUACUGUACCCUGAUACUGAACUUCGGUAUACCUUGUAUAGGAUAUGUGGGAGGCUGAGAACCCAGGGCGCCAGUUCUGGGGGAGCCAACGGUGGAAUACCACACUUGGUAUGCUGAAGUUCUAACUUCUGACCCUAAUCGGGUAGAAGGACAAUGUCAGGCGGGCAGUUUGACUGGGGCGGUCGCCUCCUAAAAAGUAACGGAGGUGUCCAAAGGUUCCCUCAGGCUGGUUGGAAAUCAGCCGUUGAGUAUAAAGGCAUAAGGGAGCUUGACUGCCUAGACCGACAGGUCGAACAGACACGAAAGUGGGGCUUAAUGAUCCGGCGGUGGUGUGUGGAAACGCCGUCGCUCAACGGAUAAAAGCUACCCCGGGGAUAACAGGCUGAUUUUUCCCGAGAGUUCAUAUCGACGGGAAAGUUUGGCACCUCGAUGUCGGCUCAUCGCAUCCUGGGGCUGGAUAAGGUCCCAAGGGUCCGGCUGUUCGCCGGUUAAAGCGGUACGUGAGCUGGGUUCAGAACGUCGUGAGACAGUUCGGUCCUAAUCCGCUAUGGGCGUAGGAGGUUUGAAGGGGGUUUACCGGUAGUACGAGAGGACCCCGGUAAGGAGACCGCUGGUGGACCAGUUGUCCCACCAGGGGCAGGAGCUGGGUAGCUAAGUCUCUACUGGAUAAGCGCUGAAAGCAUCUCAAGCGUGAAGCCUACCCCAAGAUUAGACCUCCCAUCCUUGCGCAAGCGAGGAGUAAGAUCCCUUGUAGACUACAAGGUUGAUAGGCCAGAGGUGUAAGCGCAGUAAUGCGUUUAGCUGACUGGUACUAAUAGAUCGAGGACUUACUAUA